AACAAGUUUCCAAUCUGAGCUAUUAACUCAAGAGAAAGUCAAUUAAAAGAACGUUUACCAAGUGUUUUGAUUGGGUUUGUUCAUGCUACUCACCACCAACCGUUUAUGGCGCUGCGCACAGUACAACUGUAGCUAUGUACAGCGGUAAAAGAAGUCGAUACAGGUACAGCGAUUGUACCGAGUUGCUUGCAUGGUUCUAGCGCUGUACAUGGUGACAGACAUACAAUUUUCGAAGUACAACGGUAGUACAGCUGGCAGAGCACUAUCAGUAUCAUUCGUGGUGUCUAGGAUACUGUGCGACAUCUUGUGUUAAAAUCCAUGUUUGUGAGGAAAUUUACUCUAUCAGACUAAAUUCCUCUGACCACCAAACGAUGACAAUCGAGGGAACCAUCACUUGGUAAUGUGGAGAAGCAUCCAACUCACUUUCUUCUUCGAGGAAGACAUUCGAAGAAAAACAAAUCAUUUGCAAUAUGGAACCACAAUGGCUCGAGAUAAGGCGAACAAAGCAGAAACAAACCGGAAAACGAAAACUGUCCGAAAAAAAACAUGACAAAUUCGAUGCAGCACACCGCUCACACAUCGCUCCGAAGGCACUUAAAACUCAUACCUCUCACAGAGGCCGCCUCUACCGCUGCAGAGAACUGUCAACUUCCCCGGCCUGAUUGCAAACAAAUGCAUUACGGUUGGUUUAGACCAGCAAUUCAUUCAUGUGAAGAAACAUGAUGAGAUCCACAGAAAUCGCAUCAUCCGUCCACACCAGCGCGAAUCUAUACAAUGAAUUAGAGAUGGGCAAACCGUUCACGAACGGUACGAAAGAACUAGUUCGCUGAAAAGAGUGAACGAGCGGUCGUUCUUUUUCAAAGAACGGUAGGUCUCCCCACGAACUGAUUGCGAGAGAACGGUUUGUGAACGAACGGAACGAACUGAUUCCGUAAGAAUGGUUUGCGAGUGAACUGAUUCCGUAAGAUCGGUUUGCGAGUGAACUGUUGGAGAAUGAACUGUUUGUGAACGAACUGUUUGCGAGUGAACUGUAUGGCAAAGAACUGAUUGAGAGUGAACUGUUUGGGAACGAACUGUUUGAGAACGAAGUGUUUGCGGCCGAACUGUUUGCGAACAAACUAGUGCAGCUGAACUGAUUUGCGCUGGACGGAAUGGAUAAAUAUAACGAGAACGCUUGUAAGGAAAAUAAAACGAUUUGUCAUUUAUGAGCAAAAUGC